UACGUAGGGCGCGAGCGUUGUCCGGAAUUAUUGGGCGUAAAGAGCUCGUAGGCGGCCGGUUGCGUCUGCUGUGAAAUCCCGGGGCUUAACCCCGGGCGUGCAGUGGAUACGGGCCGGCUGGAGGCAGGCAGGGGAGAAUGGAAUUCCCGGUGUAGCGGUGAAAUGCGCAGAUAUCGGGAGGAACACCGGUGGCGAAGGCGGUUCUCUGGGCCUGUACUGACGCUGAGGUGCGAAAGCGUGGGGAGCAAACAGG
rnacentral:rRNA from 1 species